UAAAAGUUUGGUCCUGACUUUACCAUCAGCUCUGGCUAAAUUUACACAUGCAAGUAUCCGCACCCCCGUGAGAAUGCCCUGCUUUUCUUCAUGAAAAAAAGGAGCUGGUAUCAGGCACAACUUCUUAGCCCAUAACGCCUUGCUUAGCCACACCCCCAAGGGAACGCAGCAGUGAUAAACCUUAAGCAAUAAGUGUAAGCUUGACUUAAUGAAAGCCAAAUAGAGCCGGUUAAUUUCGUGCCAGCCACCGCGGUCAUACGAAUGGCUCAAGUUGAUGGUCCCCGGCGUAAAGCGUGGUUAAAGACCCCUCCCCCACUAAAGCCGAACGCUCUCAUAGCUGUUAUACGUCUUAGAAAGUAUGAAGCCCCCCCACGAAAGUGACUUUAAUACCCUUGAACCCACGAAAGCUGUGACACAAACUGGGAUUAGAUACCCCACUAUGCACAGCCGUAAACCUUAGCUAACCCCUACAUAAUUAGCCCGCCAGAAGAUUACAAGCAUAAGCUCAAAACUCAAAGGACUUGGCGGCGCUUUAAACCCAUCUAGAGGAGCCUGUCCUAUAACCGAUAAUCCCCGUUAAACCUUACCUUCUCUUGCUCCCAGCCUAUAUACCGCCGUCGUCAGCCCACCCUGUGAAGGCCCACUAGUAGGCAAAACUGGUCCAGCCCAAAACGUCAGGUCGAGGUGUAGCAUAUGAGAAGGAAAGAGAUGGGCUACAUUUCCUACACAGGGAACCACGGAUAGUACAAUGAAAUGUGUACAUUGAAGAAGGAUUUAGCAGUAAGUAAAAAAUAGAGUGUUUUACUGAAACCGGCCCUAAAGCGAGCACACACCGCCCGUCACUCUCUCCUAGUCUACCGCCCCAACCCUACAUAAAAAGCCUUACCAGCAAAGGAGAGACAAGUCGUAACAUGGUAAGUGUACUGGAAAGUGCACUUGGAUAAA
ensembl:Mt_rRNA